rnacentral:rRNA from 1 species
UACGGAGGGUGCAAGCGUUAAUCGGAAUUACUGGGCGUAAAGCGUGCGCAGGCGGUUUGUUAAGUCUUUUGUGAAAUCCCCGAGCUCAACUUGGGAAUUGCAAUGGAUACUGGCAGGCUGGAGUAUGGUAGAGGAAGGUGGAAUUCCCGGUGUAGCAGUGAAAUGCGUAGAGAUCGGGAGGAACACCAGUGGCGAAGGCGGCCUUCUGGACCAAUACUGACGCUCAUGCACGAAAGCGUGGGGAGCAAACAGG